UUAAGCGACUAAGCGUACACGGUGGAUGCCCUGGCAGUCAGAGGCGAUGAAGGACGUGCUAAUCUGCGAUAAGCGUCGGUAAGGUGAUAUGAACCGUUAUAACCGGCGAUUUCCGAAUGGGGAAACCCAGUGUGUUUCGACACACUAUCAUUAACUGAAUCCAUAGGUUAAUGAGGCGAACCGGGGGAACUGAAACAUCUAAGUACCCCGAGGAAAAGAAAUCAACCGAGAUUCCCCCAGUAGCGGCGAGCGAACGGGGAGCAGCCCAGAGCCUGAAUCAGUGUGUGUGUUAGUGGAAGCGUCUGGAAAGGCGCGCGAUACAGGGUGACAGCCCCGUACACAAAAAUGCACAUGCUGUGAGCUCGAUGAGUAGGGCGGGACACGUGGUAUCCUGUCUGAAUAUGGGGGGACCAUCCUCCAAGGCUAAAUACUCCUGACUGACCGAUAGUGAACCAGUACCGUGAGGGAAAGGCGAAAAGAACCCCGGCGAGGGGAGUGAAAAAGAACCUGAAACCGUGUACGUACAAGCAGUGGGAGCACGCUUAGGCGUGUGACUGCGUACCUUUUGUAUAAUGGGUCAGCGACUUAUAUUCUGUAGCAAGGUUAACCGAAUAGGGGAGCCGAAGGGAAACCGAGUCUUAACUGGGCGUUAAGUUGCAGGGUAUAGACCCGAAACCCGGUGAUCUAGCCAUGGGCAGGUUGAAGGUUGGGUAACACUAACUGGAGGACCGAACCGACUAAUGUUGAAAAAUUAGCGGAUGACUUGUGGCUGGGGGUGAAAGGCCAAUCAAACCGGGAGAUAGCUGGUUCUCCCCGAAAGCUAUUUAGGUAGCGCCUCGUGAAUUCAUCUCCGGGGGUAGAGCACUGUUUCGGCAAGGGGGUCAUCCCGACUUACCAACCCGAUGCAAACUGCGAAUACCGGAGAAUGUUAUCACGGGAGACACACGGCGGGUGCUAACGUCCGUCGUGAAGAGGGAAACAACCCAGACCGCCAGCUAAGGUCCCAAAGUCAUGGUUAAGUGGGAAACGAUGUGGGAAGGCCCAGACAGCCAGGAUGUUGGCUUAGAAGCAGCCAUCAUUUAAAGAAAGCGUAAUAGCUCACUGGUCGAGUCGGCCUGCGCGGAAGAUGUAACGGGGCUAAACCAUGCACCGAAGCUGCGGCAGCGACACUAUGUGUUGUUGGGUAGGGGAGCGUUCUGUAAGCCUGUGAAGGUGUACUGUGAGGUAUGCUGGAGGUAUCAGAAGUGCGAAUGCUGACAUAAGUAACGAUAAAGCGGGUGAAAAGCCCGCUCGCCGGAAGACCAAGGGUUCCUGUCCAACGUUAAUCGGGGCAGGGUGAGUCGACCCCUAAGGCGAGGCCGAAAGGCGUAGUCGAUGGGAAACAGGUUAAUAUUCCUGUACUUGGUGUUACUGCGAAGGGGGGACGGAGAAGGCUAUGUUGGCCGGGCGACGGUUGUCCCGGUUUAAGCGUGUAGGCUGGUUUUCCAGGCAAAUCCGGAAAAUCAAGGCUGAGGCGUGAUGACGAGGCACUACGGUGCUGAAGCAACAAAUGCCCUGCUUCCAGGAAAAGCCUCUAAGCAUCAGGUAACAUCAAAUCGUACCCCAAACCGACACAGGUGGUCAGGUAGAGAAUACCAAGGCGCUUGAGAGAACUCGGGUGAAGGAACUAGGCAAAAUGGUGCCGUAACUUCGGGAGAAGGCACGCUGAUAUGUAGGUGAAGUCCCUCGCGGAUGGAGCUGAAAUCAGUCGAAGAUACCAGCUGGCUGCAACUGUUUAUUAAAAACACAGCACUGUGCAAACACGAAAGUGGACGUAUACGGUGUGACGCCUGCCCGGUGCCGGAAGGUUAAUUGAUGGGGUCAGCCGCAAGGCGAAGCUCUUGAUCGAAGCCCCGGUAAACGGCGGCCGUAACUAUAACGGUCCUAAGGUAGCGAAAUUCCUUGUCGGGUAAGUUCCGACCUGCACGAAUGGCGUAAUGAUGGCCAGGCUGUCUCCACCCGAGACUCAGUGAAAUUGAACUCGCUGUGAAGAUGCAGUGUACCCGCGGCAAGACGGAAAGACCCCGUGAACCUUUACUAUAGCUUGACACUGAACAUUGAGCCUUGAUGUGUAGGAUAGGUGGGAGGCUUUGAAGUGUGGACGCCAGUCUGCAUGGAGCCGACCUUGAAAUACCACCCUUUAAUGUUUGAUGUUCUAACGUUGACCCGUAAUCCGGGUUGCGGACAGUGUCUGGUGGGUAGUUUGACUGGGGCGGUCUCCUCCUAAAGAGUAACGGAGGAGCACGAAGGUUGGCUAAUCCUGGUCGGACAUCAGGAGGUUAGUGCAAUGGCAUAAGCCAGCUUGACUGCGAGCGUGACGGCGCGAGCAGGUGCGAAAGCAGGUCAUAGUGAUCCGGUGGUUCUGAAUGGAAGGGCCAUCGCUCAACGGAUAAAAGGUACUCCGGGGAUAACAGGCUGAUACCGCCCAAGAGUUCAUAUCGACGGCGGUGUUUGGCACCUCGAUGUCGGCUCAUCACAUCCUGGGGCUGAAGUAGGUCCCAAGGGUAUGGCUGUUCGCCAUUUAAAGUGGUACGCGAGCUGGGUUUAGAACGUCGUGAGACAGUUCGGUCCCUAUCUGCCGUGGGCGCUGGAGAACUGAGGGGGGCUGCUCCUAGUACGAGAGGACCGGAGUGGACGCAUCACUGGUGUUCGGGUUGUCAUGCCAAUGGCACUGCCCGGUAGCUAAAUGCGGAAGAGAUAAGUGCUGAAAGCAUCUAAGCACGAAACUUGCCCCGAGAUGAGUUCUCCCUGACUCCUUGAGAGUCCUGAAGGAACGUUGAAGACGACGACGUUGAUAGGCCGGGUGUGUAAGCGCAGCGAUGCGUUGAGCUAACCGGUACUAAUGAACCGUGAGGCUUAACCUU
rnacentral:rRNA from 1 species